UACUAUGCGCAGGGUGCUGCCCUGAAGAAGU
rnacentral:piRNA from 1 species